rnacentral:misc_RNA from 1 species
CUGUUCUUUCUUUCUCCAUAUUUUCUGUUUCAUUACCUGCCUGAGCUACUAUCUUGUCAUCCUUCUUAGUCUUGCUGGCCCUAUCACCCGUCCCCACACCUGUGAGCUUUCUUUUAAGUACUCUUUUAAUUAUUUUCUUCUUUAUGGCAGUUUUAACACUAGUACCUUGCAAAACUGCAUCACUGCCGCUUUGUGAAUUAUCCUUUGGUUUGUCUUCAGUGUUGUCCACUUCCUUCUCAGC